UACGGAGGGUGCGAGCGUUGUCCGGAAUCACUGGGCGUAAAGGGCGCGUAGGCGGUUGGAUAAGUCUUGUGUGAAAUCUUCGGGCUCAACUCGAAGUCUGCACGAGAAACUAUCUGGCUUGAGUGUGGGAGAGGUGAGUGGAAUUCCUGGUGUAGCGGUGAAAUGCGUAGAUAUCAGGAGGAACACCUGUGGCGAAAGCGGCUCACUGGACCACAACUGACGCUGAGGCGCGAAAGCUAGGGGAGCAAACAGG
rnacentral:rRNA from 1 species